rnacentral:rRNA from 1 species
UACGAAGGGGGCUAGCGUUGUUCGGAAUCACUGGGCGUAAAGGGCGCGUAGGCGGCUUUGUAAGUCGGGGGUGAAAGCCUGUGGCCUCAACCACAGAAUUGCCUUCGAUACUGCAUGGCUUGAGACCGGAAGAGGUAAGUGGAACUGCGAGUGUAGAGGUGAAAUUCGUAGAUAUUCGCAAGAACACCAGUGGCGAAGGCGGCUUACUGGUCCGGUUCUGACGCUGAGGCGCGAAAGCGUGGGGAGCAAACAGG